rnacentral:tRNA from 1 species
ACAUUGGUGGUUCAGUUGUAGAAUUCUUGCCUGCCAUGCAGGAAGCCCGGGUUUAAUUCCCAGCCAAUGCC